rnacentral:misc_RNA from 1 species
GAUGAAGAACGCAGCAAAAUGCGAUACUUGGUGUGAAUUGCAGAAUCCCGUGAACCAUCGAGUGUUUGAACGCAAGUUGCGCCCGAAGCCUUUUGGCCGAGGGCACGUCUGCCUGGGCGUCACGCAUCGCGUCGCUCCCCACAACUCUCCGUAAAGGGAACUUGUGUUUUGGGGGCGGAUAUUGGUCUCCCGUGCUCAUGGCGUGGUUGGCCGAAAUAGGAGUCCCUCCGGUGGACGCACGAACUAGUGGUGGUCGUAAAAACCCUCGUCUUUUGUUUCGUGCCGUUAGUCGCGAAGGAAACUCUUUAAAAACCCAAAUGUGUCGUCUCUUGACGGCGCUUCGACCGCGACCCCAGGUCAGGCGGGACUACCCGCUGAGUUUAAGCAUAUCAAUAAGCGGAGGA